UGGCGGACGGGGGAGUAAUGUCUGGGAAACUGCCUGAUGGAGGGGGAUAACUACUGGAAACGGUAGCUAAUACCGUAUAACGUCGCAAGACCAAAGAGGGGGACCUUAGGGCCUCUUGCCAUCGGAUGUGCCCAGAUGGGAUUAGCUAGUAGGUGGGGUAACGGCUCACCUAGGCGACGAUCCCUAGCUGGUCUGAGAGGAUGACCAGCCACACUGGAACUGAGACACGGUCCAG
rnacentral:rRNA from 1 species